rnacentral:rRNA from 1 species
GACAGAGGGUGCAAACGUUGCUCGGAAUCACUGGGCGUAAAGGGCGUGUAGGCGGGACGUAAGUCGGGCGUGAAAUCCCUAGGCUCAACCUAGGAACUGCACUCGAAACUACCAUUCUUGAGUGUCGGAGAGGAAAGCGGAAUUCCUGGUGUAGAGGUGAAAUUCGUAGAUAUCAGGAGGAACACCAGUGGCGAAGGCGCUUCUGGACGAUACUGACGCUGAGGUGCGAAAGCGUGGGGAGCAAACAGG